AACUAACGCAUUUUUUGUUACAGUUUCUGUACUAUAUGGGUAUGAGAAACUUCCAGAACAUUCAUUGUUCUAGGAAAAUUUUGAAACAAAAGCCUUCGGGC
rnacentral:misc_RNA from 1 species